AAACGACUGAUUUAGCAUUUUUGGCCGAAUUCAUAUAGUUUUCAAGAGCAGUUGGCAUACAUUAUAAUACGUUCAUAUAAUAUAUAUAUUUAGAUCAAACUUCUUGAUGGAAGAAUGAGUGUAUGACAUAGGAACCCUCGCCGAAUCAAGCAAUGGCAGCAAACGAAAUAAUUUUGAAUCUGGUUAUCAUCUUCUCAUGUCUCUUUAUCCAUUGCAGUUCAUCAGUAGCAGAUGGUGUCGGACAGACUGAAUCAACAGCGGUCACCACAGGAACUAAUCAGUUAACCUCGUCGAAUAGUACUGAUCAGUUUAGUCCCACGAUCUUCGCGCCCCUUAAAUCCCCUCUGAGAAUCGGUGGAAGUUUUUUUCUCGGAAGGAGAUAUGACAGCAAGGAACAAAUGUUGAACAUGACAAAAAGUCAUCAGCAGCCUCAUGAUCCGGUGUUUCUUCAGCUCAAUUGUAACUCGUACAUCGUCGGUCAAGUGCUUACAGUUAGGGAUACGCCGAUGAAUCGUAUAGCUUUCGCCAAGGGUGAAGUGUUUCCGAAUAGUGAUGUGCCGCGUAAGAUGUUCACAAUGGAUGAGCUCCACGAGACGCCGAAUGAUGGCAGGCUUUUCUCAAUUAUAAUGCCUUCAUCAGACGAACUUGUGGAGAAACAUAACAAAGGUGAUAUUUAUUUUCCCUUUAAUCAUGUCCGAAGAAAUCAUUGAGCUCAAAAGUAUUACAUGUGUCAUGUAAACAUCUUUGUAAUAAAGACAUGAACAUGCUAUGUUGGUAUAAGAGCUUGUACGUUUUACAUAUAAACUGCGAUGUUUCAGGGUCGUCA